AGAGUUUGAUCAUGGCUCAGAUUGAACGCUGGCGGAAUGCUUUACACAUGCAAGUCGAACGGCAGCAUAGGUGCUUGCACCUGAUGGCGAGUGGCGAACGGGUGAGUAAUACAUCGGAACGUGCCCAGUCGUGGGGGAUAACGUAGCGAAAGUUACGCUAAUACCGCAUACGAUCUACGGAUGAAAGCGGGGGACCGUAAGGCCUCGCGCGAUUGGAGCGGCCGAUGUUAGAUUAGGUAGUUGGUGGGGUAAAGGCUCACCAAGCCGACGAUCUAUAGCUGGUCUGAGAGGAUGAUCAGCCACACUGGGACUGAGACACGGCCCAGACUCCUACGGGAGGCAGCAGUGGGGAAUUUUGGACAAUGGGCGCAAGCCUGAUCCAGCCAUUCCGCGUGCAGGAUGAAGGCCUUCGGGUUGUAAACUGCUUUUGUACGGAACGAAAAGGCUCUGGUUAAUACCUGGGGCUCAUGACGGUACCGUAAGAAUAAGCACCGGCUAACUACGUGCCAGCAGCCGCGGUAAU
rnacentral:rRNA from 1 species